rnacentral:lncRNA from 1 species
CUGAUCGUGGAAGAGGAAAAAGGGAAAAAAGAGAGGAAGGAAAAGAAAGAAAGGAAAAGGGAAGAAGAAAAAAAGGAGAAGGUGGAGGAGAAGAAGGGAAUCAUCAUCAUCAUCAUCCUCUUCAUCUUCUUCUCUCCAUUGGAGUAAGCCUAGAGAGGUAAGUUUGGUGCUCUCUCAUGGUAGAUCCUUAGAGAUAGGUUUUUGAUCUUUAAGGUUGGUUUG